GCUGCCCCUGGUAACAUUGCAGGUGUGGCUACUGUGUCACAUGCAUGUCAUCAGUAAGAAGCAGAAAGGUUAUGUCUGUGCUCAGUGUCGUAACCGAUGAACAUCUAAGUGAUUAGUAACCUAACACU